UGCGAGGCUUGAAACAAAAGAAAAGAGUAGUUGAAGAUUACAUUGCCGAAUUUAAAAAUGGGCGAAAGACACUCAAUGGAAUGACCUUUCACUGAGAAAUCAGUUUAGAUUAGGCCUUUCAGAAGGAAUUAAGGAUGAGUUGUCUAGAUCUGAACUACCACAUACUCUUGAGGCUUUAAUGUCACUUAGCAUAACUUAUAGACAGAAGACUGAGAGAGAGACAGCAGGAGAGAUCAUUUCAUGAAUAUCCUGCAAAGAAACAAAAUACACCCAGCCCCAGCAAAUCAACUGCUGAACCUAUGGAUAUAGGUUUUAUAAAGGGACCAUUAACCCCUGAGGAGAAGAUCCGACGAAGGGUUAAUAACCUCUGCUUAUACUGUGCUUCAGACAAACACACUGUCAGGGACUGUCCUUCCCUCCUGAAACAAAACAAGGUGGGAGUCACAUCGAAUCAACGCUCCCGCGAUUAUUGACUCAGGAGCUACAGCAUCUUACAUAGAUACUGUAUUCACUAAAUUCAAUAAAAUUCCACUUGUGCAAAAAAA